AUGGCCUGGACCCCGCUCCUCCUGGGCCUCCUGGCUCACUGCACAGGUUCUGUAUCUUCCUAUGAGCUGAAUCAGCCGCCCUCAUUUUCUGUGAGCCCGGGAGAGGAGGCCAAGAUGACCUGUGUGGGAAGCAACAUUGGAAGCAAAUCUGUCCAUUGGUACCAAUAUAAGCCAGUCGAGGCCCCUGUGCUGGUCAUUUACAAUGAUAACAGCCGGCCCUCAGGGAUCCCUGACCGCUUCUUUGGCACCAAAUCUGGGGACACGGCCACCUUGACAAUUAUGGGUGUGCACACUGAAGACUAG